CCACGAACACCGGAUUGCUCACUGUGGCCCGGUAACGAUCCAUGGCAGCGACGAUGAACUCGACUUGUGGUAAUUUGCACCGGAAGAAGCGCUACUGUGGACAGGAAAUAUAUUAAAAGCUGUUCCCAGCUUUCAGACCCUUCACUAUCCACUGACCUCCAUGUACCGCACGUAGUCGCCCCGACGAACAUGAACGCCCACGAAUGUGAUGUUGUCGCCUCGCAACGCCCGCACUCGGUCCAGGAACGACGAAACCUGCAAGAAAAACGAACCUUUUUAAGACGACGACGUCUGUGAAAAUGGCGAAGUCUAAGAGAUCUACGACGUCUGUGAGACCGACGAAGUCACUGGUACCGAGCAUAUAUCCAAAAAAGAAAAAAAAAGACUACUUAGUUAAACAUUGGUUUACCAUUCAUGGUCUUUUCCCCCCUUCUGGAAAUUGUGCUUCACAUACGAAGCCAGUACAUCCCGGUAACCCCAGACUUAAAAGGCAACAGAAAUAUUUAUCAACGUGAGAGUUGCGACAGAUUUCCAAGACAAGUAAUGUUAGCGUAGUUCAUCCUUUACAUGACGACAGAAAACGGUGAUGGUACUAACUUUUGCCUGAAGCUCGGGCCGGAUACGUAGGUUGCUUCGGAUGACGUGGUGGUGGUCGGCAAGCAUCCGCAUCCGGUUCGGGUAUCCUACCGGCGGGCAUACUGUUAUGAUAAGCGGAAGCGUCAGGUGUCCAGGAGCCACGAGCGACGAGACUCUACCGAAGAUGUGCUGGGUGACGGCGACCGUGGCGGAGUGGCUGCCGUGGAAGGUGAGGGCCGUGGCGUAGCUGUUGAGGCAGUUGCCCAGUUGACCCAUCGUGGAGAACACCAUCAGUGGCCACCGCACCCGCGACGUGUUCGAGAACGCCUGGUUACCCAAAGAAAAAUGUUUAGAAAUGCAUUAGAAAAUCUAUUCUGCAUAUUCCAUCUCUUCCUUCCUGUUCACUCCACUCAGCGGCCGACCUCAAAUACAUAUUUAUCCAUUUUAUCCUGCUGUUCAUUUUAAUUCAUAAAGGGGGGGUUGGCGGUUGCAUGGAAUGAACAUUGGUCUUUGUUGAUGAGGAUGGGCUGCUAUAUUUUCAUGGAAAGGUAUUAAACUAUGCUUUCCAGAUUAUCUAAUAUGUAUACUGUAUGUAUACACAUCACAGGGAAAUAUGUUAAACACGCCAAUUAAGGAUAUUUCAAACAAUGUAAUUUUUAAUUUACUCUAUAAUUAAACCCUUGAGUUGAUUAGGAAUUUCUGCCAAAAUUAUUUGCAAUUCAUUUUAUGAACUUAAUUUUAUUUUCCUUCCUGUAUGUUUCACAUUAAUGUAUCAUUAUGAAGUUUAGUUAUGUGCUCUAAAAUGGCAUGAUACAAAUUGUGGUUGAUUAUGCAUAAGAUUGACAGGAAACCAUCAAUAAGGCAUGU